rnacentral:rRNA from 1 species
GACGAACGCUGGCGGCGUGCUUAACACAUGCAAGUCGAGCGACGCUCUUCCUUCGGGGAGAUGACGGAGCGGCGAACGGGUGAGUAACACGUGGGCAACCCGCCCCUAGCUCUGGGACAACACCGGGAAACCGGUGCUAAUACCGGAUACGACAUCGAGCGGCAUCUCUCGAUGUGGAAAGUUUUUUCGGCUAGGGAUGGGCCCGCGGCCUAUCAGCUUGUUGGUGGGGUAAUGGCCCACCAAGGCGACGACGGGUAGCCGGCCUGAGAGGGCGACCGGCCACACUGGGACUGAGACACGGCCCAGACUCCUACGGGAGGCAGCAGUGGGGAAUAUUGCGCAAUGGGCGAAAGCCUGACGCAGCGACGCCGCGUGAGGGAUGACGGCCUUCGGGUUGUAAACCUCUUUCAGCAGGGACGAAUUCAGACGGUACCUGCAGAAGAAGCACCGGCCAACUACGUG